GCCCAAAAGAUAGCCCACCCACACAACUUAAAUAACCAAACAUAAAUAAUGAAAACCCACUAAGCUUAAACUAAAACAUUCUCCAGCCCUAGUAUAGGAGAUAGAAAAGGAACCUUGGAGCUAUAGAAAAAGUACCGCAAGGGAAAACUGAAAGAGAAAUGAAAUAAAACAGAUGAAGCAACACAAAGCAGAGAUUUAACCUCGUACCUUUUGCAUCAUGAUUUAGCAAGUAAAAAUUAAACAAGAGGAACCUUAGUUUAAAUCCCCGAAACUAGACGAGCUACUCCAAGACAGCCUUUUAUAAGGGCCAACCCGUCUCUGUGGCAAAAGAGUGGGAAGAUCUUUGAGUAGAGGUGAAAGACCUAUCGAGCCUAGUUAUAGCUGGUUGCUUAAGAAAUGGAUGUUAGUUCAGCCCCAUAAUAUUCUUAGGCCCAAGUACUCAAUUUCAAAGUUGAGGAGCUAAGUAAUGUAUGAGAGUAAUCCAAAGGAGGUACAGCUCCCCUGGAAAAGAAAACAGCCUUAAUAAGAGGGCAAAGGAUCAUAUUUAACCAUAAGGGUAAUUUCCCAGUGGGCCUAAGAGCAGCCACCUGUAAAGAAAGCGUUAAAGCUCAAGAAAAGUGUAACCAAAAAUAAUGAUAUAACCUCCCCACCCCCUACUAUUAUUAAGCCCCCCCAUGUAAACAUGGGACAGAUAAUGCUAAAAUGAGUAAUAAGAGAGUAAAAGACUCCCUCCAGGCGCAAGUGUAAGUCAGGCCGGACAAACCACUGACAAAAAACGGGCCCAUGUAGCAAGAGGGAAAAGAAGGAAAGAAAGACUAACAAGAAAAACCUACUAAGAACAAGAACCCGUUAUUCCAACACAGGAGCGCAAAGCAAGGAAAGACUAAAGGAAGAGGAAGGAACUCGGCAAACAAAAAUCUCGCCUGUUUACCAAAAACAUCGCCUCUAGCAAAUGAACACGUAUUAGAGGUCCCGCCUGCCCAGUGACUAUAGGUUCAACGGCCGCGGUAUUAUGACUGCGCUAAGGUAGCGUAAUCACUUGUCUUUUAAAUAAAGACCAGUAUGAAUGGCACCACGAGGAUUUAGCUGUCUCCCUAUUCCAGUCAAUGAAAUUGAUCUAUCCGUGCAGAAGCGGAUAUAAAAACAUAAGACGAGAAGACCCUAUGGAGCUUUAGGAUUUAGGCAAACAUGUCAAGAAACUAUAAACAUGGUAAAACAGCUUUAAACUCAAUGAAACAUGACCCAAUUCCUUAGGUUGGGGCGACCCUGAGGCAAAAAACAGCCCUCAUAUGGAAAUAAAGGAAUGUACUAUUUAAGACCUUUACACCCACGAGUGACAACUCUAAGGAGCAGAAUGUCUGACCAGAACUGACCCAGGAUUAAUUAACCUGAUUAUUGAACCAAGUUACCCUAGGGAUAACAGCGCAAUCUUCUCUUAGAGUUCAUAUCGACGAGGAGGCUUACGACCUCGAUGUUGGAUCAGGACAUCCUAAUGGUGCAACCGCUAUUAAGGGUUCGUUUGUUCAACGAUUAAAGUCCUACGUGAUCUGAGUUCAGACCGGAGAAAUCCAGGUCGGUUUCUAUCUAUGAAGCAACUUUUUCCCAGUACGAAAGGGCCGGAAAAAGUGGGCCAAUACUACGAGCAAGCCCCACCCUAAAUCUCUGAAUAAAUAUAAAAAGAGCAAUAGAGCGCAUGAACCACGCCCAAGAUAAAGGUACGCCAAG
rnacentral:rRNA from 1 species